CAGUCGGCCACGGUAAUACAGAGGGUGCGAGCGUUAAUCGGAUUUACUGGGCGUAAAGCGUGCGUAGGCGGCUUCUUAAGUCGGAUGUGAAAUCCCUGAGCUUAACUUAGGAAUUGCAUUCGAUACUGGGAAGCUAGAGUAUGGGAGAGGAUGGUAGAAUUCCAGGUGUAGCGGUGAAAUGCGUAGAGAUCUGGAGGAAUACCGAUGGCGAAGGCAGCCAUCUGGCCUAAUACUGACGCUGAGGUACGAAAGCAUGGGGAGCAAACAGGAUUAGAUACCCCUGUAGUCCCUGUCUCUUAUA
rnacentral:rRNA from 1 species